AUUGAACGCUCGCGGCAUGCUUUACACAUGCAAGUCGAACGAGUGGCGGACGGGUGAGUAAUAUCUCGGAACGUGCCUAGUAGCGGGGGAUAACUACUCGAAAGGGUGGCUAAUACCGCAUACCAUCGGAGCGGCCAAUAUUGGAUUAGCUAGUUGGUGGGGUAAUGGCUCACCAAGGCGACGAGCCGUAGCUGGUUUGAGAGGAGGACCAGCAACACUGGGACUGAGACACGGCCCAGACUCCGACGGGAGGAAGAAGUGGGGAAUUUUGGAGAAUGGGGUAAAGCAUGAUGCAGCCAUGCCGCGUGUAUGAGAAGGCCUUCGGGUUGUAAAGUACUUUUAGCAAAGAAGCGGUAUGCGCAGAAGAAGCACCGGCUAACUGCGUGCCAGCAGCCGCGGUAAUUC
rnacentral:rRNA from 1 species